AACGUAGGUUCCGAGCGUUAUCCGGAUUUAUUGGGCGUAAAGAGCUCGUAGGCGGUUCCGUAAGUCGAGUGUGAAAAAUCUGGGCUCAACCCAGUGGAGCACUCGAUACUGCGGUGACUGGAGUACGGUAGAGGAGUGUGGAAUUCCUGGUGUAGCGGUGAAAUGCGCAGAUAUCAGGAAGAACACCAGCGGCGAAGGCGGCACUCUGGGCCGGAACUGACGCUGAGGAGCGAAAGCGUGGGUAGCAAACAGG
rnacentral:rRNA from 1 species